CUCUCUGUAUAGCUCAGUUGGUUAGAGCGCUGCACCGGAAUCGUAGGGCAGCUGCCGGUUCGAUUCCAGCAGAGAGG